rnacentral:rRNA from 1 species
UACGAAGGGGGCUAGCGUUGCUCGGAAUCACUGGGCGUAAAGCGCACGUAGGCGGACUCUUAAGUCGGUGGUGAAAUCCUGGAGCUCAACUCCAGAACUGCCUUCGAUACUGAGAGUCUCGAGUCCGGGAGAGGUGAGUGGAACUGCGAGUGUAGAGGUGAAAUUCGUAGAUAUUCGCAAGAACACCAGUGGCGAAGGCGGCUCACUGGCCCGGUACUGACGCUGAGGUGCGAAAGGCGUGGGGAGCAAACAGG